rnacentral:tRNA from 1 species
GGCCUCGUAGCUCAGCUGGUAGAGCACUCGCGGUAAUAAAGAGACGCUGGUGGCCACGCGUGAGUCCAAAUCCCGCCGGGGCCA